GUGACUUGCAUUCCAGCCAGACUGGGGGCAGCCGUCUCAAUCCUCAGAUUGAUGUGUUCGCUGGUAGCGGUGUUAUUAAUGGGGUGGAGGAGUUAUGUCACCUGGAGGAAAUAUAGGCAACUGCUCGAAAUUGAGCAUCUGGGGAGCCAUAAAGCAAAGCCUGAACCCAAUCAUCCACACGUAUCGGGUACUGCUGCAACCACACAUUAUUAUAGAAUGUGAAUGUGUAUUUUUGAAACAUCCAACAUCAUUGUUCUCUCAAACUGUAUAUUGUAUUUUCUGAAUCCCGAAUGAUCUGAUUCCUGGCAGCCUGUUUAGGCUAUGUGGUUAAAAUAGACUAUUAUAGGGAUACUUUUACAGUACUUGGUUAAUAAAACUCCAAACCCCUUUGAAUUAUGUCAGAGAAGGCAUCUCCAGUUUAGAAAAAGCACCUAUGCACCAGUGACUCCAAAUCGUUGAAAUUAUUGGAGCUGUCCAAGGUGCUCAAUAAAAUGUAAUACAUGUGUCACCUACUGAGUGUUAUCCCUUUAAAUUGUGAUAUUUUUUUUGCACGAGAUCGCAAUGCGCACUUGUCUCUGAUUGGCUGGUCUGUCUGACCACGUGCUGUUUUUGUAAUUCAGCGGAAACAAGGUUGUAGCUAGCUAUCUGCAAUUAAUGGAACUAAGCAUUCUACAUAUGUAAUCAGUAAAGAGGACGCCUGAUGGCAAGGAUGUAGCUAGCUAUCUUACUAGUCAGAGGCAGACUAAUUCACGUGCACGUACAGUGUCGACAUUAGCAGGGUAAUCUCUAUCUCAAUGUACGGAAUGCAAGCCAAGUAGCUAACGUUAGUUAAUCAGCAUCAAUCUAAAACAAAAUAACGUUUGAAAUCCUGUCUGGUGAAAGAUCCAUUAGCUAGAGACUGUUGUCUUGGAGACCUCAGACCCCAAAUGUCCCCCAGGGCCUGGCUCAAUGAGAGGCAUGGACAGUGUGGUAUUAGACUCUGAAUCAGAUGAGGAGAUAUCUGGGUCAUCCAUGAUGUUGUUGGGAGAGCUUAGAGAACCACUUCUGGAGCAUGGCAGACAUUUUGAGGAAAUCCUAUAAGCACUGUGCAAGUUUUCAGAGGAGGAGAGGUCCAGUCAAGAGGACACCCAGGCAUCAUCAUCAGCUAGUUUCCCCCCCUAAACCUCAGCAUGCCAGGCAGCCCAAGCAGCCAAACUCCCUGGUCAUCCCCCAUCACUACCUCACAAGCCUACCAAUGGGAGCAUAAUUAAGACCUUCAAUAGGCUGCCCGAAGGAGCAGACAAAAGGAGGAAGGUGAUUCCAGAUCCAGGCACCAGCUCUGAGGACGAGGCCAGUGAUGACUUUGAUGUGUCUGCUGAGGGCAUGGAGAUGGAACUUGGAUGCCUCAGGCUCAGAUCAGGAGGUUGGAACAGGGUCUAAUGUGAAGGGCCAGAUCCUCUGGUUUUUCCAGGAGGCAUCGCCGGUUGAGCUGUCUCUCAUCUCUGGCUGCUCUGUGAAGAAGGCCCAGAGGAUUGUCGAGCUGCGCCUAUUUAACGAGUGGGAGAAUCUGGUGGCUGUUUUCAACGGAGGGAACAGCCUCUCCACUGACCUGAUGCAGGGCUGUUGUGUGGUCCUGAGGGAACAGGACGUGGCCUCUUGACCAAGUGUGAGAACAUCACCAACAAGAUGAUGCAGGACGUGACUCAAGCGGUGGAGAGGGACAAGGGCUUCCAGAAACAGCCUGAGAUCCUCAACAGCAAGGUUUGGGGGAAGACCAUCCAGGCCAUCUCUUUCCUGUUUCCUUGUUAAAGCAAGGAAAAACAAAGUUACGUAACAUUGUAAAGAAUCCACGUUACCAUGGAAACAGAGUCAACUGCACAAAUGCCCGGCUGUCCCGUCUUCAAUCAGCUGUUAGUUAGGUCUUGCUUCUCUGGUGUACUAUGGUGAGUGACUCAUCUGUUCAUUCUGAGUGGUGGGACACAUCAUACUGUCGCCAUCAUGGUUAAGGCUUAACAUUGAUUUGAUUAUACAGAUUUCAACCUGUUGGUUUAAGUCACCAGAAGGGAAAUGAUUCCCAAAUAUAGAUUCAGUUUAGAUUGUCCUAUUUAUAUUGUGUGUGUGUGUAUAGGGUCUGUGGAGGAUCGCAGGUUCCUUCGAUAUGAUAUUCUCAACAAAUGGGUCGACUACAACAUAAUAAUUUCCCGUAAGUCCAAAAUCGAAGAAUGACGGUUAUGCAAGAAUGACUAUACACAGAAGUACACUCGACCUGAAAAGUACAAGACCUGAAAAGGUCUUUGUAAGCUGAACCUGUGACUCAUUCAUUAUUCAUGGUAGUCAAGUGGUUGCCAUGCCUCACAGACUACUUGUGGGAACCUUGUGUGGCUCCUUGAGCUGCCGUGUGUCUGCUGCCAGCUACGCUCUGACUAUCGCCAAUGACCGCAGCCUGUCCCGAAAGCUCAGAACGCCGAGCAUGAGCUGAAGAACAUGAGCUUCGCUGCUCUACUGCCACCUCUUGGCCAUCAACAUCAGUACAUUGCUAGAGGCACCGGGAGAGGGAGGGCUUUCAUUGGUCAUCUUGGUUGAAACAGCAGAGAGGAAGAGGUGAAGUGAUAGGUUUUACUCUGCCCAAAAUCUGUCCACGAAAAUAAACCCACAAGGUGAGGAAUUUUUGUAUGGGGGUCAAUGAGAGUGUGUCGAAAUUGGUCAACAAAACAUUGAAUUGCUAAUUUGCUCCAAGAGGCUUAUUUGAUUAAAUAGAAGUUUCAUAAUGGCUAGGUUGUUACGAAUGCACUGAUGAGAGAGAGAUAUAAUAUGUUUUGGCAUUGAGGGCUUCCACUAUUUUAAAAUAGUCAACUGAGUGGGGAUUCCUAUGAGUUGGGAGCAAUCAGCCAAUGAAGAAGAAGGAAAUGUACUAUUUUAAAAUGGAGAUAGCCUCAACUUCUAAAAUCUUAACAACUUGGACGUGCUCACAUUUCCUGAUUUCCUUGUCCCAAAUGUUUCAUUCCGUCCAUCCUCAACCCCAGGACGUGGGUGCUCACAAUACACAAUGAUUCCCCAGUUGAUCCUGCCAUGCUUUUCUCCGUUGUCAUAGGGGGGGAAAUGCUGACGUAAGUUAAGAUUUUAGAAGUUGUCUAGUGUAUGACCAACAUUCUGGGCCAUGAGUGACAAGAAGCAGCAGCUCUACAACACCUUGAUGCAGAAGCUGUAGGGAUCCACCAAUGGAGAGAGUAUGUUAGGGAGAGGAAUAAUGAGAGAAAGGUAUCUUGGUCAUUUGAAAAGUGAUAAUAUACUUAAGGGAAUACUAAAAAGCCAAACAAGUUUAAUUUUAAGAUGCACAGAUUAACUGAUUUAAGACCAUAGCAUGUGUCCAUGUGUCUUCAGAGAGAGAACUGACCAAUGGGAUGAUACUCAUCUUCUGCACAUUUAUCACUCCAGUGUUUAAUUGCUAUAUAAGGUCAUUAUUUUGCCACUAUGGCCUGUUCAUUGCCUUACCUCCCUUAUCCUACCUCAUUUGCACACACACAUAUAGACUUUUUCUAUUGAAUUAUUGACUGUAUGUUUGUUUAUUCCAUGUGUAACUCUGUGUUGUUUGUGUCACACUGCUUUGCUUUAUCUUGGCCAGGUCGCAGUUGUAAAUGAGAACUUGUUCUCAACUGGCCUACCUGGUUAAAUAAAGGUGAAAUAAAUAAAAACAGUUGAAAAAGAUGGUCAAUUAUCCACUGCUGCACCGGUAGCAUUAUACCACUACUAAACUGACUGCUAUGAGUGACUCAUGCUCAAGGUCAGGCCUGAACACUUACCUGUUUUAAGAGAAUUGCAGUUAUUGAAUGAGUUUGUAACUGCUAUUGGCAGUUCUACCUCCACUACCACUAAUAUGAAAGUUACUGCUGUUUCGUCUACUGCUACCACUACAGCAACUGCUGUUGAUGGGGCUUCUGGAUGUGAUGCUGGAACUGCUGCUCUUGAAGGAAAUCGUUCUGCAACUGCAAAGGGGUUUCCAUGUCAGUGCUGCUGUUUAAAGCAGCAGUCGGGUACCACCAUACACCCGCCGAAGGGCGUUGUGGUAUGUCCUGGAGGACAGCUACGGAGCAAGAUUAGACCCAUUUCGGCUCCUGUAGAAUGUAAGUGAUGGCUCCAAUUGGAUAGACAGGACCAAAACAACCGUCUUGACGUCAUUGAAAAGGUUGCAACAUUUUUUCGAAUAUUCAUUCAAGGAAAGUAGCAUGUCAGUAGAGAAAAACAAUGUCUUACAAGUGAGACUGUUCAAGUAUGAACACCGAGAUAAGGGGCAAAAAAAUCAUUGAGGGCAUAUUACAUAUGCACAUAACCUAGGCGUGGGAGCCUACAUGGGAGCUCUCAAUGAUGUUCACUCUGAUGUUCACUGUAAAAUACCAGUGGGGUAGCCUACCGUUUACACGAAAUCAAAAGUGCAAAAUCAACUCCUAUUGUGUGGUUUUGACUUAUCCAUUUAUAAGAGUAUACAUAAUGUCUAUGUCAAUAAAACGUGGAUUACAUUGAAAAUGCACUCUUUUAUCCAUUGUCAUUAAAUAACAACUAACGUAAUGUAAAGCAAUACAAACACAUAGCCUAAAAGAUAGCAUAUCUUGUUCAGGAGUUUUCCCAUCAUCCAAUAUUCUUCUGAUCAAAAAUCUGCUAUGCCUUUUAUCAGCAUGCACUACUUUAGGCUGGUAUCGAAUGUAAGAUAUAAUAAUAAUGAAAACAUGUUUUGUCCAUUUGAUGUAGUUUAGGCUACUGAUACAGAUAGGCCACCAAAUAAUUUUGGCGGUGGUAGGUUUGAAUGGGCUCACUGGCUACCGUGAAAUUCCCUUGCAUCGAUGACUUUUUGCAAAUCCAAUCAGUUUUUCACUUCAUUCAAGUCAUCACAUAUAUUUGUUUUGUUGCAAUGACGUGGAACCAAUGUUGAUUCAACCAUUUUUUUGCCCAGUGGAUUGUUUCAUCAACCAAACCUCUCAAUUGAUCAAGUGUAGGUUAAAAUAGACUAUUAUAGGGAUACUUUUACAGUACUUGGUUAAUAAAACUCCAAACCCCUUUGAAUUAUGUCAGAGAACGCAUCUCCAGUUUAGAAAAAGCACCUAUGCACCAGUGACUCCAAAUCGUUGAAAUUAUUGGAGCUGUCCAAGGUGCUCAAUAAAAUGUAAUACAUGUGUCACCUACUGAGUGUUAUCCCUUUAAAUUGUGAUAUUUUUUUUGCACGAGAUCGCAAUGCGCACUUGUCUCUGAUUGGCUGGUCUGUCUGACCACGUGCUGUUUUUGUAAUUCAGCGGAAACAAGGUUGUAGCUAGCUAUCUGCAAUUAAUGGAACUAAGCAUUCUACAUAUGUAAUCAGUAAAGAGGACGCCUGAUGGCAAGGAUGUAGCUAGCUAUCUUACUAGUCAGAGGCAGACUAAUUCACGUGCACGUACAGUGUCGACAUUAGCAGGGUAAUCUCUAUCUCAAUGUACGGAAUGCAAGCCAAGUAGCUAACGUUAGUUAAUCAGCAUCAAUCUAAAACAAAAUAACGUUUGAAAUCCUGUCUGGUGAAAGAUCCAUUAGCUAGAGACUGUUGUCUUGGAGACCUCAGACCCCAAAUGUCCCCCAGGGCCUGGCUCAAUGAGAGGCAUGGACAGUGUGGUAUUAGACUCUGAAUCAGAUGAGGAGAUAUCUGGGUCAUCCAUGAUGUUGUUGGGAGAGCUUAGAGAACCACUUCUGGAGCAUGGCAGACAUUUUGAGGAAAUCCUAUAAGCACUGUGCAAGUUUUCAGAGGAGGAGAGGUCCAGUCAAGAGGACACCCAGGCAUCAUCAUCAGCUAGUUUUCCCCCCUAAACCUCAGCAUGCCAGGCAGCCCAAGCAGCCAAACUCCCUGGUCAUCCCCCAUCACUACCUCACAAGCCCUUCAAUAGGCUGCCCGAAGGAGCAGACAAAAGGAGGAAGGUGAUUCCAGAUCCAGGCACCAGCUCUGAGGACGAGGCCAGUGAUGACUUUGAUGUGUCUGCUGAGGGCAUGGAGAUGGAACUUGGAUGCCUCAGGCUCAGAUCAGGAGGUUGGAACAGGGUCUAAUGUGAAGGGCCAGAUCCUCUGGUUUUUCCAGGAGGCAUCGCCGGUUGAGCUGUCUCUCAUCUCUGGCUGCUCUGUGAAGAAGGCCCAGAGGAUUGUCGAGCUGCGCCUAUUUAACGAGUGGGAGAAUCUGGUGGCUGUUUUCAACGGAGGGAACAGCCUCUCCACUGACCUGAUGCAGGGCUGUUGUGUGGUCCUGAGGGAACAGGACGUGGCCUCUUGACCAAGUGUGAGAACAUCACCAACAAGAUGAUGCAGGACGUGACUCAAGCGGUGGAGAGGGACAAGGGCUUCCAGAAACAGCCUGAGAUCCUCAACAGCAAGGUUUGGGGGAAGACCAUCCAGGCCAUCUCUUUCCUGUUUCCUUGUUAAAGCAAGGAAAAACAAAGUUACGUAACAUUGUAAAGAAUCCACGUUACCAUGGAAACAGAGUCAACUGCACAAAUGCCCGGCUGUCCCGUCUUCAAUCAGCUGUUAGUUAGGUCUUGCUUCUCUGGUGUACUAUGGUGAGUGACUCAUCUGUUCAUUCUGAGUGGUGGGACACAUCAUACUGUCGCCAUCAUGGUUAAGGCUUAACAUUGAUUUGAUUAUACAGAUUUCAACCUGUUGGUUUAAGUCACCAGAAGGGAAAUGAUUCCCAAAUAUAGAUUCAGUUUAGAUUGUCCUAUUUAUAUUGUGUGUGUGUGUGUGUAUAGGGUCUGUGGAGGAUCGCAGGUUCCUUCGAUAUGAUAUUCUCAACAAAUGGGUCGACUACAACAUAAUAAUUUCCCGUAAGUCCAAAAUCGAAGAAUGACGGUUAUGCAAGAAUGACUAUACACAGAAGUACACUCGAGUCUAUUAUACUACAGGUUCACAUCCUACUGUGUUAGCUAACUGCUGGGUGUCUUCUGAGCGAGACACUUAGCCUAAGUGCCUCUAGAAAUAUCCAGGGGAAUUAGUGGAGAUCUUGUAAAACCAUCAGCCGUGUAAGUCACCCCAGCCAGGUUUCUGCUAACACUCCAAUAAUGAUAAUAUAUUCAGCGUUUGACUGAACCUGAAAAGGUCUUUGUAAGCUGAACCUGUGACUCAUUCAUUAUUCAUGGUAGUCAAGUGGUUGCCAUGCCUCACAGACUACUUGUGGGAACCUUGUGUGGCUCCUUGAGCUGCCGUGUGUCUGCUGCCAGCUACGCUCUGACUAUCGCCAAUGACCGCAGCCUGUCCCGAAAGCUCAGAACGCCGAGCAUGAGCUGAAGAACAUGAGCUUCGCUGCUCUACUGCCACCUCUUGGCCAUCAACAUCAGUACAUUGCUAGAGGCACCGGGAGAGGGAGGGCUUUCAUUGGUCAUCUUGGUUGAAACAGCAGAGAGGAAGAGGUGAAGUGAUAGGUUUUACUCUGCCCAAAAUCUGUCCACGAAAAUAAACCCACAAGGUGAGGAAUUUUUGUAUGGGGGUCAAUGAGAGUGUGUCGAAAUUGGUCAACAAAACAUUGAAUUGCUAAUUUGCUCCAAGAGGCUUAUUUGAUUGAAUAGAAGUUUCAUAAUGGCUAGGUUGUUACGAAUGCACUGAUGAGAGAGAGAUAUAAUAUGUUUUGGCAUUGAGGGCUUCCACUAUUUUAAAAUAGUCAACUGAGUGGGGAUUCCUAUGAGUUGGGAGCAAUCAGCCAAUGAAGAAGAAGGAAAUGUACUAUUUUAAAAUGGAGAUAGCCUCAACUUCUAAAAUCUUAACAACUUGGACGUGCUCACAUUUCCUGAUUUCCUUGUCCCAAAUGUUUCAUUCCGUCCAUCCUCAACCCCAGGACGUGGGUGCUCACAAUACACAAUGAUUCCCCAGUUGAUCCUGCCAUGCUUUUCUCCGUUGUCAUAGGGGGGGAAAUGCUGACGUAAGUUAAGAUUUUAGAAGUUGUCUAGUGUAUGACCAACAUUCUGGGCCAUGAGUGACAAGAAGCAGCAGCUCUACAACACCUUGAUGCAGAAGCUGUAGGGAUCCACCAAUGGAGAGAGUAUGUUAGGGAGAGGAAUAAUGAGAGAAAGGUAUCUUGGUCAUUUGAAAAGUGAUAAUAUACUUAAGGGAAUACUAAAAAGCCAAACAAGUUUAAUUUUAAGAUGCACAGAUUAACUGAUUUAAGACCAUAGCAUGUGUCCAUGUGUCUUCAGAGAGAGAACUGACCAAUGGGAUGAUACUCAUCUUCUGCACAUUUAUCACUCCAGUGUUUAAUUGCUAUAUAAGGUCAUUAUUUUGCCACUAUGGCCUGUUCAUUGCCUUACCUCCCUUAUCCUACCUCAUUUGCACACACACAUAUAGACUUUUUCUAUUGAAUUAUUGACUGUAUGUUUGUUUAUUCCAUGUGUAACUCUGUGUUGUUUGUGUCACACUGCUUUGCUUUAUCUUGGCCAGGUCGCAGUUGUAAAUGAGAACUUGUUCUCAACUGGCCUACCUGGUUAAAUAAAGGUGAAAUAAAUAAAAACAGUUGAAAAAGAUGGUCAAUUAUCCACUGCUGCACCGGUAGCAUUAUACCACUACUAAACUGACUGCUAUGAGUGACUCAUGCUCAAGGUCAGGCCUGAACACUUACCUGUUUUAAGAGAAUUGCAGUUAUUGAAUGAGUUUGUAACUGCUAUUGGCAGUUCUACCUCCACUACCACUAAUAUGAAAGUUACUGCUGUUUCGUCUACUGCUACCACUACAGCAACUGCUGUUGAUGGGGCUUCUGGAUGUGAUGCUGGAACUGCUGCUCUUGAAGGAAAUCGUUCUGCAACUGCAAAGGGGUUUCCAUGUCAGUGCUGCUGUUUAAAGCAGCAGUCGGGUACCACCAUACACCCGCCGAAGGGCGUUGUGGUAUGUCCUGGAGGACAGCUACGGAGCAAGAUUAGACCCAUUUCGGCUCCUGUAGAAUGUAAGUGAUGGCUCCAAUUGGAUAGACAGGACCAAAACAACCGUCUUGACGUCAUUGAAAAGGUUGCAACAUUUUUUCGAAUAUUCAUUCAAGGAAAGUAGCAUGUCAGUAGAGAAAAACAAUGUCUUACAAGUGAGACUGUUCAAGUAUGAACACCGAGAUAAGGGGCAAAAAAAUCAUUGAGGGCAUAUUACAUAUGCACAUAACCUAGGCGUGGGAGCCUACAUGGGAGCUCUCAAUGAUGUUCACUCUGAUGUUCACUGUAAAAUACCAGUGGGGUAGCCUACCGUUUACACGAAAUCAAAAGUGCAAAAUCAACUCCUAUUGUGUGGUUUUGACUUAUCCAUUUAUAAGAGUAUACAUAAUGUCUAUGUCAAUAAAACGUGGAUUACAUUGAAAAUGCACUCUUUUAUCCAUUGUCAUUAAAUAACAACUAACGUAAUGUAAAGCAAUACAAACACAUAGCCUAAAAGAUAGCAUAUCUUGUUCAGGAGUUUUCCCAUCAUCCAAUAUUCUUCUGAUCAAAAAUCUGCUAUGCCUUUUAUCAGCAUGCACUACUUUAGGCUGGUAUCGAAUGUAAGAUAUAAUAAUAAUGAAAACAUGUUUUGUCCAUUUGAUGUAGUUUAGGCUACUGAUACAGAUAGGCCACCAAAUAAUUUUGGCGGUGGUAGGUUUGAAUGGGCUCACUGGCUACCGUGAAAUUCCCUUGCAUCGAUGACUUUUUGCAAAUCCAAUCAGUUUUUCACUUCAUUCAAGUCAUCACAUAUAUUUGUUUUGUUGCAAUGACGUGGAACCAAUGUUGAUUCAACCAUUUUUUUGCCCAGUGGAUUGUUUCAUCAACCAAACCUCUCAAUUGAUCAAGUGUAGGUUAAAAUAGACUAUUAUAGGGAUACUUUUACAGUACUUGGUUAAUAAAACUCCAAACCCCUUUGAAUUAUGUCAGAGAACGCAUCUCCAGUUUAGAAAAAGCACCUAUGCACCAGUGACUCCAAAUCGUUGAAAUUAUUGGAGCUGUCCAAGGUGCUCAAUAAAAUGUAAUACAUGUGUCACCUACUGAGUGUUAUCCCUUUAAAUUGUGAUAUUUUUUUUGCACGAGAUCGCAAUGCGCACUUGUCUCUGAUUGGCUGGUCUGUCUGACCACGUGCUGUUUUUGUAAUUCAGCGGAAACAAGGUUGUAGCUAGCUAUCUGCAAUUAAUGGAACUAAGCAUUCUACAUAUGUAAUCAGUAAAGAGGACGCCUGAUGGCAAGGAUGUAGCUAGCUAUCUUACUAGUCAGAGGCAGACUAAUUCACGUGCACGUACAGUGUCGACAUUAGCAGGGUAAUCUCUAUCUCAAUGUACGGAAUGCAAGCCAAGUAGCUAACGUUAGUUAAUCAGCAUCAAUCUAAAACAAAAUAACGUUUGAAAUCCUGUCUGGUGAAAGAUCCAUUAGCUAGAGACUGUUGUCUUGGAGACCUCAGACCCCAAAUGUCCCCCAGGGCCUGGCUCAAUGAGAGGCAUGGACAGUGUGGUAUUAGACUCUGAAUCAGAUGAGGAGAUAUCUGGGUCAUCCAUGAUGUUGUUGGGAGAGCUUAGAGAACCACUUCUGGAGCAUGGCAGACAUUUUGAGGAAAUCCUAUAAGCACUGUGCAAGUUUUCAGAGGAGGAGAGGUCCAGUCAAGAGGACACCCAGGCAUCAUCAUCAGCUAGUUUUCCCCCCUAAACCUCAGCAUGCCAGGCAGCCCAAGCAGCCAAACUCCCUGGUCAUCCCCCAUCACUACCUCACAAGCCCUUCAAUAGGCUGCCCGAAGGAGCAGACAAAAGGAGGAAGGUGAUUCCAGAUCCAGGCACCAGCUCUGAGGACGAGGCCAGUGAUGACUUUGAUGUGUCUGCUGAGGGCAUGGAGAUGGAACUUGGAUGCCUCAGGCUCAGAUCAGGAGGUUGGAACAGGGUCUAAUGUGAAGGGCCAGAUCCUCUGGUUUUUCCAGGAGGCAUCGCCGGUUGAGCUGUCUCUCAUCUCUGGCUGCUCUGUGAAGAAGGCCCAGAGGAUUGUCGAGCUGCGCCUAUUUAACGAGUGGGAGAAUCUGGUGGCUGUUUUCAACGGAGGGAACAGCCUCUCCACUGACCUGAUGCAGGGCUGUUGUGUGGUCCUGAGGGAACAGGACGUGGCCUCUUGACCAAGUGUGAGAACAUCACCAACAAGAUGAUGCAGGACGUGACUCAAGCGGUGGAGAGGGACAAGGGCUUCCAGAAACAGCCUGAGAUCCUCAACAGCAAGGUUUGGGGGAAGACCAUCCAGGCCAUCUCUUUCCUGUUUCCUUGUUAAAGCAAGGAAAAACAAAGUUACGUAACAUUGUAAAGAAUCCACGUUACCAUGGAAACAGAGUCAACUGCACAAAUGCCCGGCUGUCCCGUCUUCAAUCAGCUGUUAGUUAGGUCUUGCUUCUCUGGUGUACUAUGGUGAGUGACUCAUCUGUUCAUUCUGAGUGGUGGGACACAUCAUACUGUCGCCAUCAUGGUUAAGGCUUAACAUUGAUUUGAUUAUACAGAUUUCAACCUGUUGGUUUAAGUCACCAGAAGGGAAAUGAUUCCCAAAUAUAGAUUCAGUUUAGAUUGUCCUAUUUAUAUUGUGUGUGUGUGUGUGUAUAGGGUCUGUGGAGGAUCGCAGGUUCCUUCGAUAUGAUAUUCUCAACAAAUGGGUCGACUACAACAUAAUAAUUUCCCGUAAGUCCAAAAUCGAAGAAUGACGGUUAUGCAAGAAUGACUAUACACAGAAGUACACUCGAGUCUAUUAUACUACAGGUUCACAUCCUACUGUGUUAGCUAACUGCUGGGUGUCUUCUGAGCGAGACACUUAGCCUAAGUGCCUCUAGAAAUAUCCAGGGGAAUUAGUGGAGAUCUUGUAAAACCAUCAGCCGUGUAAGUCACCCCAGCCAGGUUUCUGCUAACACUCCAAUAAUGAUAAUAUAUUCAGCGUUUGACUGAACCUGAAAAGGUCUUUGUAAGCUGAACCUGUGACUCAUUCAUUAUUCAUGGUAGUCAAGUGGUUGCCAUGCCUCACAGACUACUUGUGGGAACCUUGUGUGGCUCCUUGAGCUGCCGUGUGUCUGCUGCCAGCUACGCUCUGACUAUCGCCAAUGACCGCAGCCUGUCCCGAAAGCUCAGAACGCCGAGCAUGAGCUGAAGAACAUGAGCUUCGCUGCUCUACUGCCACCUCUUGGCCAUCAACAUCAGUACAUUGCUAGAGGCACCGGGAGAGGGAGGGCUUUCAUUGGUCAUCUUGGUUGAAACAGCAGAGAGGAAGAGGUGAAGUGAUAGGUUUUACUCUGCCCAAAAUCUGUCCACGAAAAUAAACCCACAAGGUGAGGAAUUUUUGUAUGGGGGUCAAUGAGAGUGUGUCGAAAUUGGUCAACAAAACAUUGAAUUGCUAAUUUGCUCCAAGAGGCUUAUUUGAUUGAAUAGAAGUUUCAUAAUGGCUAGGUUGUUACGAAUGCACUGAUGAGAGAGAGAUAUAAUAUGUUUUGGCAUUGAGGGCUUCCACUAUUUUAAAAUAGUCAACUGAGUGGGGAUUCCUAUGAGUUGGGAGCAAUCAGCCAAUGAAGAAGAAGGAAAUGUACUAUUUUAAAAUGGAGAUAGCCUCAACUUCUAAAAUCUUAACAACUUGGACGUGCUCACAUUUCCUGAUUUCCUUGUCCCAAAUGUUUCAUUCCGUCCAUCCUCAACCCCAGGACGUGGGUGCUCACAAUACACAAUGAUUCCCCAGUUGAUCCUGCCAUGCUUUUCUCCGUUGUCAUAGGGGGGGAAAUGCUGACGUAAGUUAAGAUUUUAGAAGUUGUCUAGUGUAUGACCAACAUUCUGGGCCAUGAGUGACAAGAAGCAGCAGCUCUACAACACCUUGAUGCAGAAGCUGUAGGGAUCCACCAAUGGAGAGAGUAUGUUAGGGAGAGGAAUAAUGAGAGAAAGGUAUCUUGGUCAUUUGAAAAGUGAUAAUAUACUUAAGGGAAUACUAAAAAGCCAAACAAGUUUAAUUUUAAGAUGCACAGAUUAACUGAUUUAAGACCAUAGCAUGUGUCCAUGUGUCUUCAGAGAGAGAACUGACCAAUGGGAUGAUACUCAUCUUCUGCACAUUUAUCACUCCAGUGUUUAAUUGCUAUAUAAGGUCAUUAUUUUGCCACUAUGGCCUGUUCAUUGCCUUACCUCCCUUAUCCUACCUCAUUUGCACACACACAUAUAGACUUUUUCUAUUGAAUUAUUGACUGUAUGUUUGUUUAUUCCAUGUGUAACUCUGUGUUGUUUGUGUCACACUGCUUUGCUUUAUCUUGGCCAGGUCGCAGUUGUAAAUGAGAACUUGUUCUCAACUGGCCUACCUGGUUAAAUAAAGGUGAAAUAAAUAAAAACAGUUGAAAAAGAUGGUCAAUUAUCCACUGCUGCACCGGUAGCAUUAUACCACUACUAAACUGACUGCUAUGAGUGACUCAUGCUCAAGGUCAGGCCUGAACACUUACCUGUUUUAAGAGAAUUGCAGUUAUUGAAUGAGUUUGUAACUGCUAUUGGCAGUUCUACCUCCACUACCACUAAUAUGAAAGUUACUGCUGUUUCGUCUACUGCUACCACUACAGCAACUGCUGUUGAUGGGGCUUCUGGAAGCUAAGGGUAUUACAGUGUGUUUUGGUCAGUCUGUAAUUGCUUUGACUCUUGACCCGACCCACCGUGACCGCAGACCCAGUGCUGACCAAGGAGGAUAUGGACGUCAUGACAGAUUUUGAGCUGCACCGGCUCUGUCUGCAGUACCCGUCCGUACAAGACUAUCAGCUGAACACAGACAUGCUCCUGGACUCAGGAAAACUCAGCCUGCUCACACAGCUUCUGACCUCUCUCAAAAACAAGGUGUGAAAUUGGAGUGGAAGUUGAACAAAUGGAGACAGCUUCUUUAUUAUGCGCUAGUAUGCCUCACCUGUAAUGAACCAGCUAUAGCCUUCUCCAUCGCCCUCCCUGGGGGUUUCUUCUCCCCCCCAUAAAACCAGUCACUCUUUUAUUCCCCGUUCCUCUACCUUUGUCAGACACUCCAUCUCUUCCCUGCUCUCAAUCACAAUCACUCUUUCCUUGGCUUUUCCUCUU